AAAAAAACAGAAAGAAAAAGUUUCACUCCAAUACAACACUCGAUAAAUUUGUAUCAAUAUCUGUGAUAAAAGAAAGUAAUUAAUAACCCGCAGGUAGUUUCAGAUAAUACGUGCAUCAGGAAUAACAAAUAAGUUGCUGGUUUGAAAAAAUAGUGCGCGAGCAUUCUCACUUUAAAUGACACUGGUAGUAAGUUAUAGUUCACCAUAAAUCAGGUAGGUGACCUAGUAGCGUUAGUAAAAUGGCGUCUACGGGAGUGACGGGAGGAUUUGUUUCAGGAGGAUAAUCUGAUUGGCGUUUGUGUAAAGACAAUAAAUACAAAAGCAUUACAAGUGUUCGGAUAAGAAGAUAUCCGGAAACUUACGUAGAUGAAUGUCUAUUAUUAUGAAGUGUGAGUGCUAUUGAAUUCGUCGUUUUGUCUUGUAAAAUUCCAUCGCUUCAAUACGCGAAUGGCCGCCGUAAAUUAUUUCAUUCGAAUAGACGUAAAAUUAGCUCAACUAGGAAUUACUGAGACGCGAUGGAAUAGAAUUAGAUUAUCGCGUGUUUUCCGGCAAAGUUGGCCCUUUCUCUUCAUGUUAUGUCAGAUUAUCAUGAUGUGCGUCGUUCUACCCCAAAAUUCGUGCCGAAUUUUUUUCUGGCUGAGACGUGCCUACCUACAAUGGAUAUCUGUACAUACCGUUGUCAAUCAUCGUAAUUCAAGAAUGGCCUAUCUUCAAACUGUAACAGCAGGUACCUUUUACGGCAUCAACAUUUCCUGCAACUGUAAUCUAUAUUGAUUUGCAUACGAUGUCUGGAGUUGCAAAAUUUUCGCAAGCACGACUGGUCAGUGGAGAUAUUGAUCCGGAACUUUAGUGUUAUCGACAUUGGUAAUUGAAGUUGAACACGUGAGACACGCAUCGAUUGUACAUUAUGCUUUGCACAAUGAGAAGGUAUGAAAUUACAUUGCAUUAAAAAAUUUAAAUUAUUCAAAAACAUGAGAGAGGUAAAUUUUGGUGAAACCAAGAAAACGCGUGAGAUAAAGUUAUAGAGGUAAAAUCUUAAAAAAAUCCUUAAGCGACCGUGUAUACGUGUAUAAAACGUAAAUAUAAACUUUCACGUUUCGCGUGAUUGACGUAGCAACGUAAAUCUGCGAAUUUCACGUGAAACGUAAAAUAAGCAUUGCGACCUGUAUAACCGAAUAUUAGGAACGUCUACGUAGAAGCCCAAUGAAAAUUGACCGUAUAUUUAUACCCGUUGAAAAAUUUCAUAUCGCAAGGAACGCACGUUUUCUCAAGCUAACGAUGUACCAAAAAUUUCCAAAGAGAUUUUGACGAGUGCACAUGCAUAUGGAUGCAGUUAUAUGCAGUCACGUUAUUCGACUUCUAAUGGGUGUCCAUUGCCACACCUGCAGCUGCAUUUGAUCGUUCGGUCAGGCCGUUGACACAAGGAGGACGGAUGUUGCCGAGAGAAAUGAAAGAACUAGAGGAAGGAUACGGCGAAUGAGAAAAGUUCGAUCAAAGUUAGUUGGGUAUAGUGCGACAGGCAAUUACCCAUUGACGUAAUGGCACAAGGGAGAAAAUGUACUAUGUACUAUUAUAGAGCCAAGAAUAAUUUCUAAGCUACCGAGAAAAUCGACUGGACGUAGGUUAACUUAUACACCUGGCAGUAACAGUAUAUAGUACCAGUAGUACCAGCCUUACUAGAUACUGGUAGUACUAGCGGUACUAGAUACUGGUAGUACCAAAAGUACAAGCAGUAGAAGUAGCAGUAGCCGUAAAAAUAUUUAUCACCUCAUAUAUCAAAGCCACGUGCUAAUUCAAUAUUUAGUACACCGCCUGUCAAAAGAGGCCCAACUGAAUUAGACAAGUAGAUCCUUUGAAUUGACGUGAAAAACACGUGACUCGUUCCGAAUCAAUAAUUAAAUAUUCUAUCAGUACUAUCUUACUACGUAAUCGCCUUAUCAAUAAUCUAUAAUAUAUUUUUUGACGGAACAUCGUCAACAAUGUCCAUUCGAAUUGUUGAUGUUUUUUCGUGAUUUCUUGUGCGAUCCAAUAAAUUCAAAUCGAUAGAUUUCGCCGGAUGGAUAUCACGCACAAUUUGGACGUUACACGUGUACUUUGUACAUUUUGAGUAUGUCGGAAUCGGUUUUUUUUUGUAUUGCCUUGUUACCCAAGCUUUGUCGGUUGAAAAAUAUUCAAAUGUUCUCCCUUAUCUGUAUGUCUGAUUGAUACGCCAUGCGUCUGUCAAUAUAUCUAUAUUCGCGUCUCUUGUGAAAUAAGUAAAUUUCGCAAUGGCCUUCGGCGGCUACGAGCUACAAUAGAGAACGAAUAAGCGCGCAGUCAAUCCGCCCCAAAUUGUUCACGAUCGAGUAGGUAUUGUGCCAGAAUGAAAAUAUACAAUGAAAUAAGAAUAAUAGUAUACAUGCGAGAAAAAAAAGAUUACAAAUAUCUUCGUCUGAGUCUGGCACGUAUUUAGAUGCAAAUUUAUCGAUAACGCUGAACGUAAUUGAAUUUCGGAAAGCGAUAAUAAUAAUUAUAUCGUAUCAAUUUUUUUUAAUUUUAUGUAUUUUCAAUUAGCUUACGCAAGUAGUAAUGGAUAUACAUAUAGUGCCAAUGUGAUAUUAUUUUCCCAUGAGCAUUCGCCAUUAGCCAAUUGAUAUAUCCAAGUGGAAGAGCGAUGUCUAUCGUGACACGAGUCUCAAAGGAAAAGUCAAAGUAAAAAAUGUGAAAAGCGUCAGAAGUUCACGCUGUCGGCAAACACGGCCUUUAUUUACGCUACAAUGCAAAUUUCCAUUAGAGUUCAAUCAACUGCCUUGCCCUGAAUGUAUUAUCGAGAAGUGAAAUGAAAAAAGAGAAGCCGAGGGAUAAUACUCGUACGUCAUAGAGACACCGCGUUAAAUCACAGGGUGAAAUAUUUCGGUGAGUUGUAAUAAAGAAUGAAAAAUUAAGAAAAAAAAUAAAAAAUAAAAAUGUAGAAAAUAAAAAAAUAAACAUUCAGACGCCUUGGAAAUUCGCGUGUCUCUCCGCACUAUACUCGCGAGGGAAAGCUGCAAAAAUUUCUUCACCGUCUCCUCUGGCUUAAAGGGGAUGAUUUCGAGAAGAUUGAAUUUGACGUGAAAUUUCUUUUGCGAAAUUAAUACACGGCUUAUUGUUGAUAUCCGAAGUCAAUCAGUGGAUGAUAAAUAAAGCGCGAAUAUUCAUCCGAGUUAAUGCAAUCGUAUAAUGUAUUCACGUGUCAGCCGUUUAUUCUUGGACGUGAAAUGAUUUAUCGAUCUCUACAAAUAUUUUCCUCGAAGGCAUCAAAGAUAUUUAUAGGGCGAUUACACAGGGUGUUCCUGAAGUAUCGGAAGAACAAAUUUUCCUGCGAAACUCGGACGGAUGACGGAACUUAGUAAAAAUGUGAAAAGAAAUACAGAAAUUGGGUACGUAAUGACACAUUUUCAUCGAGCGACGUUGUACCAUCCCUUACAUUAAGUUACGAGGGUGCUGUACCUUAAAAAGGGAAGGCAAUUAAGAGGAAAAAAAAUUACAUUGAAUUCUCUUCUUCGACAGAAUGCAUUAGGGUGUAUCUCUAUAUAUAAAUAUAUAGAUUCAUUAUCCAUUGGAAAAUAUAUAUUGACAGUUAGGGGAUGAAUUUUGCUACGGCUCUGACGCAAUGAACUUCGAUCAGAAGCAGCCAUUUUGAAACUUCAGUAUCUCAGCAACAACAACUUUAUUUUCUGCUUACGCCGGAGCUUCGUUAGAGAAAGAAGAAUGGAAGAGAGAGAAAAGAAGAGAAAACAUCAGCCUCGACUUAAUUCAAGCAUCGACAGCCGGCAAACACAAUGGAAGCGUACAACCAUCGCAGAUUUAGCGCAGGAAAUAAGAGGGAUGGUAUUCCCUGUUCCUUACGCCCUUCAUUCGGACUUGUCGACGGAAUUGGGCUUAUGGGAACUUUUGCAAAAGAUUGAAUUCACCCCAAAGUACCGCCAGUUGAUUUUGCUAACCGUUACUGUUCGACGUUUUUACAGACUCGUUUAUUACCAUCCACCAACCCCCCGGUGUCACCCUUGCUUUGUUUUCGCAUCCCCCGACAGACACCAAGAGACCCAUUCAAAUGACUUUAGGGUCUUUGAAAAGGGAUAAUAGUAAGCAGCCCACGUUACGAUUCCUUUGCUCGUGAAUCCGAACUUUUUUUCUACCCUUCAUUCCCGGGUUUUCGUAAUGAACUUUAAAUACCGAAAUAAAUUGAUCCAAGUCGAUUAUUUAUCUUGAGGUCGGAGCGGUCUUUUCAAACGUAAUAAAAGAUAAAUGACUUUGUCAACCGUGCAACGAAUGCACUUUGCAGCUGAAACUUAAACGUCACGCAACAUUUAAAUGAUACCAAUUAAACCCUAGAACGAAUUGAUAAGUCAAAGUACCAUUCUCUUAAUUCAUUUCCAUAUUAAGAAUUAUAUCAAAGACACGGUACGACGAUGAAAAUAAAUUCUUGUACACCCUGUAUAAAAUUUGUACAGGUAGACAUUAGCUAUUUCCUACUAUAGAAAAUAUACGUGUAAGGCAAUGUAAAAGAAAAUUGAAUCGUAUACGUACUACAAUAUGUAAAGAUAAAUUG